GACGAACGCUGGCGGCGUGCUUAACACAUGCAAGUCGAGCGGUAAGGCCCUUUCGGGGGUACACGAGCGGCGAACGGGUGAGUAACACGUGGGUGACCUGCCCUCAGCUCUGGGAUAAGCCUGGGAAACCGGGUCUAAUACUGGAUAUGACUCCAUGACGCAUGUUGUGGGGUGGAAAGCCUUGUGCGGCUGAGGAUGGGCCCGCGGCCUAUCAGCUUGUUGGUGGGGUGAUGGCCUACCAAGGCGACGACGGGUAGCCGGCCUGAGAGGGCGACCGGCCACACUGGGACUGAGACACGGCCCAGACUCCUACGGGAGGCAGCAGUGGGGAAUCUUGCGCAAU
rnacentral:rRNA from 1 species